rnacentral:lncRNA from 1 species
GGUGGUAUCUGCUCCACAUGCCCUACAGAACAUGAUGGCCACCCGACUGGUGGCUUAUCAGUGUUCAUAUGGCCCACUAUCCGACUCUGUUGACACUGUCCAGGCCACCAGGAAGCCAGGGCAUUGGCCUUGAGAGUUGCCCCAGUGAUGGUAGUCCAAGGCCCAAGAUCACCAGGACUCAAGCUCUUGUACUCUGUUGAAGAUCUGGCAUUCAUCUCAAGAGACCCCAACAACCGCUUUGGUCCAGAAGAAGAACUCUGGUAUGUACCGUCAGGAAAGAUGAUUCUACCACAAGAACAUGUGUUGACAAUGAUAAGACAAAUGCAUCAAUGGACCUACCUAAGGAUAUCAAGUUAACUCAAACUGCCUUAAGAUCUAAGUAUUAUGUUCCAGGACUAAAACAACCUGGUGGAACAAAAAGUUCACAGUUGUAUUCCCUGCCAAAAGGUAAAUGCUUGCAGAAGCAAACCUGACCCCAGUAAGAGACCUCAGGGAGAUAAGCCAGGAGCCUACUGGGAAGUGGAUUUCACCGAGAUAAAACCAGUCAAGAAUUUUAAUCUGAAAUAUUCACAGAAGUGUGCCAGGAAAUUGAAAAUAUUUCAUCACUGGGUGACGUAUUUCAUCGAUGGAAAGCUAUACAAGCCAGAGGAGUUGACAGGAACAGAAGCAAAUUACAAAUAAAAUUACUGAGAACAUAGUACCUAGAAGCCACAACUGUUGUCAUUUGUUUUCCUGGGAUGCCUGUGGCCAUGGCUAUCGCAGACCUCCUGUAAGGCCUUCAGACUCUGGUGUCUUCAGAG